rnacentral:lncRNA from 1 species
UCGUGUUAUAUUUCAUUCCUAUUAAUUUACAUUGCGAUGCAGUCAUGAAUUUUUUGUGUAUAUUGUUAUUCAUUGGUAUUCAUGAACUAUUAACUUCGUGUUUUUGUUAAAUUGUUUUUGAGGGUCCCUUAUUCCUCUUUCCUCUCCUCAAAAGUUCCGGUUAUAGUGUUUUUCUUUUUAUGACUGCAUUGCCUCUUGUUACAUAACUCGUUGGCCAUGAUGGCUCACUUUAACAUCUCAAAAUAUACUACUGACUUCUUCGUCUUUAUUAUUUUUAUUAUAAACUCGACACAGGACCAGCCUAAAAAA